CAGCCGCCGCGGGAAUACGUAGGUGGCAAGCGUUGUCCGGAUUUACUGGGCGUAAAGCGAACGCAGGCGGACUGUUAAGUAGGAAGUGAAAGGUCGGAGCUCAACUCCAACAUUGCUUCCUAUACUGGCAGUCUUGAGUAGCGGAGAGGAAGGGGGAACGACACGUGUAGCGGUGAAAUGCGUUGAUAUGUGUCGGAACACCCAUGGCGAAAGCACCCUUCUGGACGCAAACUGACGCUCAGGUUCGAAAGCCAAGGUAGCGAACAGGAUUAGAUACCCCCGUAGUCCCUGUCUCUUAUAC
rnacentral:rRNA from 1 species